rnacentral:rRNA from 1 species
UACGUAGGGUGCAAGCGUUGUCCGGAAUUAUUGGGCGUAAAGAGCUCGUAGGCGGUUUGUCGCGUCUGCUGUGAAAACUCAGGGCUUAACUCUGAGCUUGCAGUGGGUACGGGCAGACUAGAGUGCGGUAGGGGAGACUGGAAUUCCUGGUGUAGCGGUGAAAUGCGCAGAUAUCAGGAGGAACACCGGUGGCGAAGGCGGGUCUC